AAGCAUUUGAGUAUAUCUUAUGUUAUACUAAUGAAUUCAAUCUAGUGUUUCAGUCAAAUACUUGUAAAUUUAUGGUUAAGUGUCUCUAGAUUUGGUUCAAUACAUUUUGGAUAAGUAAAGAAUUCAAUUUGAACCAAAGUCUGAGUCUCGAGUCGACUCCGGGAGAUUACGAGUCGACUCCAAGCGUAUCAGAAGCACUAGCACAAGCUCGAGUCGACUCCUGUACAUUUCGAGUCGACCCCGACUGAGAACAGACAGACGGACAGAAAGAUUCAUCUCAGAACCUGUCAACGAGUCGACUCCUGAAGAGCGCGAGUUGACUCCGAUGCUUGCCGAGUCGACUCCAGAGUAGUACGAGUCGACUCCAGGGGGUUA
rnacentral:lncRNA from 1 species